GGAAGUGAUUUGCAGUACGCAUUCAGGAAAUGUGUUGUUGAAAAAUUUGACAACACUAGCAAUGGAAAUGGUGCAGUAGUAUUAUUUCAGCUGUUCCUUGACAGAGGAAGUAUACAAAGAACAGCAUCCAGCUUGGAAGAGACGGUGAAGUCCAUAAUCAUAAAUAAUAUAAAAAGGGGAGGCUUGGAGCAAAUUAGUAUUGAUCCUGCGACUGUGUUUAUUAAACGUUUCUUUGAUGGUGGGACUGGCAACAUACCUAAGACACAAACAGGAGAUGUUUUUACACCAAACUCUGAUAACAGGACUUUAGAAGUGAAGAAUGG